rnacentral:rRNA from 1 species
UACGUAGGGGGCAAGCGUUGUCCGGAUUUACUGGGCGUAAAGCUCGUGUAGGCGGCCAAGCAGGUCCGUUGUGAAAACUGGAGGCUUAACCUCCAGACGUCGACGGAAACCGCGUGGCUAGAGUCCGGAAGAGGAGAGUGGAAUUCCUGGUGUAGCGGUGAAAUGCGCAGAUAUCAGGAAGAACACCAAUGGCGAAGGCAGCUCUCUGGGACGGUACUGACGCUGAGACGCGAAAGCGUGGGGAGCGAACAGG